rnacentral:rRNA from 1 species
AUUGAACGCUGGCGGCAGGCCUAACACAUGCAAGUCGAGCGGAUGAAGGGAGCUUGCUCCUGGAUUCAGCGGCGGACGGGUGAGUAAUGCCUAGGAAUCUGCCUGGUAGUGGGGGAUAACGUCCGGAAACGGGCGCUAAUACCGCAUACGUCCUGAGGGAGAAAGUGGGGGAUCUUCGGACCUCACGCUAUCAGAUGAGCCUAGGUCGGAUUAGCUAGUUGGUGGGGUACAGGCCUACCAAGGCGACGAUCCGUAACUGGUCUGAGAGGAUGAUCAGUCACACUGGAACUGAGACACGGUCCAGACUCCUACGGGAGGCAGCAGUGGGGAAUAUUGGACAAUGGGCGAAAGCCUGAUCCAGCCAUGCCGCGUGUGUGAAGAAGGUCUUCGGAUUGUAAAGCACUUUAAGUUGGGAGGAAGGGCAGUAAGUUAAUACCUUGCUGUUUUGACGUUACCAACAGAAUAAGCACCGGCUAACUUCGUG